ncrna:unclassified sequences RAGATH-18 RNA
ACUGUGGAGUGUACAAAAACCUGUGAGUAGCGUAUUGCCUGCAAUCGUCAAAACAUACACAAUGAAGCAGUAA